UACGUAGGAUCCAAGCGUUGUCCGGAUUUACUGGGUGUAAAGGGUGCGCAGGCGGACUUAUAAGUCAGUGGUGAAAUCUCACAGCUUAACUGUGAAACUGCCUUUGAUACUGUAGGUCUUGAAUUAGGGAGAGAUUCGUGGAAUUCCGAGUGUAGCAGUGAAAUGUGUAGAUAUUCGGAAGAACACCAGAGGUGAAGGCAGCGAAUUGGCCCUAUAUUGACGCUCAGGCACGAAAGCAUGGGGAUCAAACAGG
rnacentral:rRNA from 1 species